AUGGCGGCCAUGUCGUCGCGGACUGGUCACGCCCCGCCGGCGGCGCCGAUGGCGACGGCUGACCUGGAGGCCGCCAUCGCGGCGCUCCCCGUCAGGAAGCAGCGCCUGCGGGAGACCUUCGACCGCCUCGUCGCCUGCGCGCCGCCCCAUUACCAUCUCCCCUUCACCUGGGACGACAUCGACGCCCAUGUCUCCUCCCUCCACGCCUCCCUCUCCCUCCGCUUCCGCCAGAUGCAGCAGCAGCCCCACCCCGGCGCCCCCGUGUCCGCAACCGCGAUCCACGACGCCGAGCAGCCCCACCCCAGCGUCCCCGUGCCCGCAACCGCAACCCUCAUCGGCGAGCAGCCCGACCCUUGCGUCCUCGUGUCCGCAACCCCCGAUGAGGAGAUGGUUAGGGAGGAUGAAGACGCCUCUCCUGUUCAAGAGGACGAUAGAGUGGAGGACGCCGGCAUGGGCUUUGUGGGGGCGCCAUGGCGCCAGGCCGGAGGAACUCGUGAUCAAGAGUUUCCUGUUCCGGUGCGGGCUCACUACGCCCGGCACGCCGGCAGCCCUAUGCUUCGGCAGCCAUACACGGCGUACCAGCAGCCUGAUGUGCUUAGCCAGCUGAAUCUUCCCAUGUUCCAGCGCCAACAGCCAUACACGCCGUACCACCGGCAGGAGUUUCCUGCCAUGGCGGGGGCCAUGAAUAGCUACAAUAUUCCUCCGAUUGUCCAGCAGCCGUACUACAAUAUUCCUCCGAUUGUGCAGCGGCCGUACGUGCCGUACUUCAGGCGAGAAUUCUCCCCUGAUUUCAGGCAAGAAUUCUUCCCUGAUGAUGAUGUGACGAGGCAGCCCUUCAGGAGGCAGGAAUUCUUCCCUGAUGAUGAUGUGACGAGGCAGCCCUUCAGGAGGCAGGAAUUCUUCCCUGAUGAUGAUGUGACGAGGCAGCCCUUCAGGCAAGAAUUCUUCCCUGAAGUGACGAGGCAGCCCCCGAUGGGCAUUGAUCAUGUGCUCCAGGAGCAGUACAUGGCAAUGGCGCACCGUGAACCGUACGUUCCACGGCAGCAGUACAUGGCGCACCACCAGCCACACUUCCCUGAUGCACAGGCUGCUAGUGCUCAUGGUCAGGGAUCAAGCACUACGCGUCGAUCACCGAGCAGGAUUACCUAUCCGGACAACAUCAAUGUGGGUAUUAGCGAGCCAAGUAAGAAGAGCAGGACUAUCCACAAGAACACCAUAUAUGAUUAUUUCUGA
rnacentral:rRNA from 1 species